AGCGAACGCUGGCGGCAGGCUUAACACAUGCAAGUCGAACGGGCACUUCGGUGUCAGUGGCAGACGGGUGAGUAACACGUGGGAACGUACCUUUUGGUUCGGAACAACUGAGGGAAACUUCAGCUAAUACCGGAUAAGCCCUUACGGGGAAAGAUUUAUCGCCGAAAGAUCGGCCCGCGUCUGAUUAGCUAGUUGGUAGGGUAAUGGCCUACCAAGGCGACGAUCAGUAGCUGGUCUGAGAGGAUGAUCAGCCACAUUGGGACUGGGACACGGCCCAAACUCCUACGGGAGGCAGCAGUGGGGAAUAUUGGACAAUGGGGCAACCCUGAUCCAGCCAUGCCGCGUGAGUGAUGAAGGCCCUAGGGUUGUAAAGCUCUUUUGUGCGGGAAGAUAAUGACGGUACCGCAAGAAUAAGCCCCGGCUAACUUCGUGCCAGCCGCCGCGGUAA
rnacentral:rRNA from 1 species